UACGAAGGAUGCAAGCGUUAUCCGGAUUUAUUGGGUUUAAAGGGUGCGUAGGCGGACUUAUAAGUCAGUGGUGAAAUCUCGAUGCUUAACAUCGAACGUGCCAUUGAUACUGUAGGUCUUGAGUACAGAUGCCGUUGGCGGAAUGUGUCAUGUAGCGGUGAAAUGUAUAGAUAUGACACAGAACACCGAUUGCGAAGGCAGCUGACGAAACUGUAACUGACGCUGAGGCACGAAAGCGUGGGGAUCAAACAGG
rnacentral:rRNA from 1 species